rnacentral:rRNA from 1 species
GACGUAGGGCGCGAGCGUUGUCCGGAUUUAUUGGGCGUAAAGAGCUCGUAGGCGGCUUGUUGCGUCGACUGUGAAAACCCGCAGCUUAACUGCGGGCCUGCAGUUGAUACGGGCAGGCUAGAGUUCGGUAGGGGAGACUGGAAUUCCUGGUGUAGCGGUGAAAUGCGCAGAUAUCGGGAGGAACAUCAGUGGCGAAGGCGGCUACCUGGCCCAAUACUGACACUCAGGUGCGACAGCGUGGGGAGCAAACAGG